rnacentral:rRNA from 1 species
UGCAUAUCAAUAAGCGGAGGAAAAGAAACCAACUGGGAUUACCUUAGUAACGGCGAGUGAAGCGGUAAAAGCUCAAAUUUGAAAUCUGGUACUUUCAGUGCCCGAGUUGUAAUUUGUAGAAUUUGUCUUUGAUUAGGUCCUUGUCUAUGUUCCUUGGAACAGGACGUCAUAGAGGGUGAGAAUCCCGUUUGGCGAGGAUACCUUUUCUCUGUAAGACUUUUUCGAAGAGUCGAGUUGUUUGGGAAUGCAGCUCAAAGUGGGUGGUAAAUUCCAUCUAAAGCUAAAUAUUGGCGAGAGACCGAUAGCGAACAAGUACAGUGAUGGAAAGAUGAAAAGAACUUUGAAAAGAGAGUGAAAAAGUACGUGAAAUUGUUGAAAGGGAAGGGCAUUUGAUCAGACAUGGUGUUUUUUGCAUGCACUCGCCUCUCGUGGGCUUGGGCCUCUCAAAAAUUUCACUGGGCCAACAUCAAUUCUGGCAGCAGGAUAAAUCAUUAAGAAUGUAGCUACUUCGGUAGUGUUAUAGCUUUUUGGAAUACUGUUAGCCGGGAUUGAGGACUGCGCUUCGGCAAGGAUGUUGGCAUAAUGGUUAAAUGCCGCCCGUCUUGAACACGGACCA